rnacentral:rRNA from 1 species
UACAGAGGUGGCAAGCGUUGUUCGGAAUUACUGGGCGUAAAGGGCGCGUAGGCGGCCCACUAAGUCAGACGUGAAAUCCCCGGGCUUAACCUGGGAACUGCGCUUGUUACUGGCAGACUGGAGUGUGGCAGAGGGGGGUGGAAUUCCAGGUGUAGCAGUGAAAUGCGUAGAUAUCUGGAGGAACACCGAUGGCGAAGGCAGCCCCCUGGGCUAACACUGACGCUGAUGCACGAAAGCGUGGGGGAGCAAACAGGAUUAGAAACC